rnacentral:tRNA from 1 species
AGUCCAGUGGACUGAUUUCCCCGCGUAGCGCAGCGUUGAGGUCGCUGUGGGGCAACCCGUGGAAGUUCGAGUCUUCUCGACCGCACCA